rnacentral:rRNA from 1 species
AUUAAUACCGCAUACGCCCUGAGGGGGAAAGUGGGGGACCGUAAGGCCUCACGUUAUACGAGCAGCCGAUGUCUGAUUAGCUAGUUGGUGGGGUAAAGGCUCACCAAGGCAACGAUCAGUAGCGGGUCUGAGAGGACGAUCCGCCACACUGGGACUGAGACACGGCCCAGACUCCUACGGGAGGCAGCAGUGGGGAAUGCGACAAUGGUACCCUGAUCCAGCUGCCGCGUGGGUGAACGGGUUUGUAAAGCCCUUUCGGCAGGGAAAGAAAUCGGCGGGGCGAAUAAGGCCCUGCUGGGAAUGACCGGUAACCUGCAAGAAGAAAGCCCCCGGCCUUAACUACCGUGCCCAAGCAACCCCCGGUUAAUAACGUAAGGGGUGCGGAGCGUAAAUUCGGAAUUUUACUGGGGCCGUUAAAGCGUGGCCCAAGCCGGCCCCCGUUAAAAACAGGUGUGAAAUCCCCUGGGCUCAACCUAGGAAUUGCGCUUGUGACUGGCGGGCUCGAGUACGGUAGAGGGGGGUGGAAUUCCUGGUGUAGCAGUGAAAUG